GGCACAGUGGCUUAAUGGUUAGCGCUGUUGCCUUGCACAGUUGGGGUUGGGGGAUCGAAUCUCGCCUCUGCCC